rnacentral:rRNA from 1 species
CCUUAGAGUUUGAUCCUGGCUCAGGAUGAACGCUAGCUACAGGCUUAACACAUGCAAGUCGAGGGGAAACGACAUCGAAAGCUUGCUUUUGAUGGGCGUCGACCGGCGCACGGGUGAGUAACGCGUAUCCAACCUGCCCACCACUUGGGGAUAACCUUGCGAAAGUAAGACUAAUACCCAAUGAUAUCUCUAGAAGACAUCUGAAAGAGAUUAAAGAUUUAUCGGUGAUGGAUGGGGAUGCGUCUGAUUAGCUUGUUGGCGGGGUAACGGCCCACCAAGGCAACGAUCAGUAGGGGUUCUGAGAGGAAGGUCCCCCACAUUGGAACUGAGACACGGUCCAAACUCCUACGGGAGGCAGCAGUGAGGAAUAUUGGUCAAUGGACGAGAGUCUGAACCAGCCAAGUAGCGUGCAGGAUGACGGCCCUAUGGGUUGUAAACUGCUUUUAUAAGGGAAUAAAGUGAGUCUCGUGAGAUUUUUUGCAUGUACCUUAUGAAUAAGGACCGGCUAAUUCCGUGCCAGCAGCCGCGGUAAUACGGAAGGUCCGGGCGUUAUCCGGAUUUAUUGGGUUUAAAGGGAGCGUAGGCCGGAGAUUAAGCGUGUUGUGAAAUGUAGAUGCUCAACAUCUGCACUGCAGCGCGAACUGGUUUCCUUGAGUACGCACAAAGUGGGCGGAAUUCGUGGUGUAGCGGUGAAAUGCUUAGAUAUCACGAAGAACUCCGAUUGCGAAGGCAGCUCACUGGAGCGCAACUGACGCUGAAGCUCGAAAGUGCGGGUAUCGAACAGGAUUAGAUACCCUGGUAGUCCGCACGGUAAACGAUGGAUGCCCGCUGUUGGUCUGAAUAGGUCAGCGGCCAAGCGAAAGCAUUAAGCAUCCCACCUGGGGAGUACGCCGGCAACGGUGAAACUCAA